rnacentral:tRNA from 2 species
AAUCCGUCGACUUUAGAAAUCGUGAGGG